rnacentral:rRNA from 1 species
CGGGACGGGUGAGUAAUGUCUGGGAAACUGCCUGAUGGAGGGGGAUAACUACUGGAAACGGUAGCUAAUAUCGCAUAACGUCGCAAGACCAAAGAGGGGGACCUUAGGGCCUCUUGCCAUCGGAUGUGCCCAGAUGGGAUUAGCUAGUAGGUGGGGUAACGGCUCACCUAGGCGACGAUCCCUAGCUGGUCUGAGAGGAUGACCAGCCACACUGGAACUGAGACACGGUCCAG